UACAGAGGUCUCAAGCGUUGUUCGGAUUCAUUGGGCGUAAAGGGUGCGUAGGUGGCGGGGCAAGUCAGGUGUGAAAUCCCGGGGCUCAACCCUGGAACUGCAUUUGAUACUGCCUUGCUGGAGAACUGGAGAGGAGACUGGAAUUUACGGUGUAGCAGUGAAAUGCGUAGAGAUCGUAAGGAAGACCAGUGGCGAAGGCGAGUCUCUGGACAGUUACUGACACUGAGGCACGAAGGCCAGGGGAGCAAACGGG
rnacentral:rRNA from 1 species